AGAGCGAACGUUUGCGGCGGGCCUAACACAUGCAAGUCGAACGGGCUAGCAAUAGUCAGUGGCGCACGGGUGCGUAACACGUGGGUAAUCAACCCUUCAGCUUGGGAUAACGUCUUGAAAGGGACGCUAAUACCGGAUACGGCGCGAGAGACUUCGGUCUUUCACGAGAAAGGCUCGCAAGGGCCACUGAGGGACGAGCCUGCGGCCCAUCAGCUAGUUGGUGAGGUAAGAGCUCACCAAGGCUAAGACGGGUAGCUGGUCUGAGAGGAUGAUCAGCCACACUGGAACUGAGACACGGUCCAGACUCCUACGGGAGGCAGCAGUGGGGAAUAUUGCGCAAUGGGCGAAAGCCUGACGCAGCCACGCCGCGUGAGCGAUGAAGGCCUUCGGGUCGUAAAGCUCUGUGGGGAGAGACGAAGACGGUACCGCAGGAAGAAGCCUCGGCUAACUACGUGCCAGCAGCCGC
rnacentral:rRNA from 1 species